CCCGGCCGCAGGGUGUGCCCGGGCGCUCAGCCUCCGCCAGGGCCGCAGCCACCCUGUGCGUCAACGCCGCCCACGGCGGCGCAAAUUUCUGCAGGGCCCCGGGUCGUCCAGAGAAUCCCGAGCCGCGGGCGCCCGGCGAGGAAUGACACCCAGGAAAGGUGUCACGACGCCGGUUCAGCCCAGCCAAAGGCUGGGAGAGCUCAUGAGCAAUGAGAGGAGAAGCCAGGACCCACAUGUGUGACCAGCCAUCAGCAGAUGCAGGGACGACACGGAGGGGACAGAGACAGCCGCUCUGCCACGAGCCCCCCGUCUGCUGCUGGAACACGUCGAUGGUGUCUUCGUCCUCCAUCUCCAGCUGACCGGGUCACCGGGACCGGCGCGGUGAGAGAGGGGAAAGCGGUUAGUUUCCUCGCCAUCCCGGGAAUGCAAAAUGCCCACCCGAACGGAUACGCAGGUUCACUGCACAGUCUUCCUCCCCUCGGAGAGCACCGUCCCAACCGCACCUGUGCGCGGCGGCCUCUCCACGUGUGUGCCAUGCAGGGAAUGAUGCCCAGCUGUGGGUUUCCAAUGAGCCCUAUUCAUCCACCAAGCUCCCCCUCACAGCACUCACAAAAGCAGAGUCAAAGCUAAGGACUUUGAUAGAAAAACUAAGCCUCCGGGGGCGCCUGCCUGGCUCAGUCAGUAGAGAAUGGGCCUCGUGAUCUCAGGGUUAUAAGUUCAAGCCCCACGUUGCGUGUACUGAUUACUUUAAAAUUAAUAAAAUCUUUAAAAAGAAAACUAAG